rnacentral:misc_RNA from 1 species
GUAGGUGAACCUGCGGAGGGAUCAUUACCGAGUGAGGGCCUCCGGGCUCGACCUCCAACCCUUUGUCGUUACAAACUUCGUUGCCUUGGGGGCGACCCGGCCUCCGCGUCGGGGCCCCCAGUGGAUCUCAUCAAACUCUGCGUCUUUGCGUCCGAGUCAUAAGUAAAUCAAUUAAAACUUUCAACAACGGAUCUCUUGGUUCUG